UGCAAGUCGAACGCUGAAGCCCGAAGCUUGCUUCGGGUGGAUGAGUGGCGAACGGGUGAGUAACACGUGAGUAACCUGCCCCUGAUUUCGGGAUAAGCCUGGGAAACUGGGUCUAAUACCGGAUACGACCACCUGACGCAUGUCGGGUGGUGGAAAGUUUCGAUCGGGGAUGGGCUCGCGGCCUAUCAGCUUGUUGGUGGGGUAAUGGCCUACCAAGGCGACGACGGGUAGCCGGCCUGAGAGGGUGACCGGCCACACUGGGACUGAGACACGGCCCAGACUCCUACGGGAGGCAGCAGUGGGGAAUAUUGCACAAUGGGGGCAACCCUGAUGCAGCGACG
rnacentral:rRNA from 1 species